GACGAACGCUGGCGGCGUGCUUAAAACAUGCAAGUCGAACGGACUUCUCAUGAAGCUUGCGAUUGAGAAGUUAGUGGCGGACGGGUGGGUAACGCGUGGGCAACCUGCCCCUGAGCCCGGGAUAACAGUUCGAAAGGACUGCUAAGACCGGAUAUACUUGCGGUGAAGCAUUCACUGCAAGGAAAGGGAACGCUCAGGGAUGGGCCCGCGUCCCAUUAGCUAGUUGGUGAGGUAACGGCCCACCAAGGCGAAGACGGGUAGCCGGUCUGAGAGGAUGGCCGGCCACACUGGAACUGAGACACGGUCCAGACUCCUACGGGAGGCAGCAGUGGGGAAUAUUGGGCAAUGGGGGAGACCCUGACCCAGCGACGCCGCGUGAGGGAUGAAGGUUUUCGGAUCGUAAACCUCUGUUGUACGGGAAGAAGGACUUGACGGUACCGUACGAGGAAGCCCCGGCAAACUACGUG
rnacentral:rRNA from 1 species